GACGAACGCUGGCGGUGUGCUUAACACAUGCAAGUCGAACGGUAAGGCCCUUUCGGGGGUACACGAGUGGCGAACGGGUGAGUAACACGUGAGUAACCUGCCCUCAUCUCUGGGAUAACAGUCGGAAACGGUUGCUAAUACUGGAUAUGAGCUUGCAAGGCAUCUUGUGGGUUGGAAAGAUUUUUUUUGGUUGGGGAUGGACUCGCGGCCUAUCAGCUUGUUGGUGAGGUAGUGGCGCACCAAGGCUUCGACGGGUAGCCGGCCUGAGAGGGCGACCGGCCACAUUGGGACGGGGAUACGGCCCAAACUCCUACGGGAGGCAGCAGGAGUGAAUAUUGCACAAUGGACGGACGUCUGAUGCAGCAACGCCGCGUGCUGGAGGACGGCCUUCGGGGUGUAAACCGCUUUCAAUUGUGACGAAGCUUUUUUGUGACGGUAGCAUUAGAAGAAGCACCGGCUAACUCCGUG
rnacentral:rRNA from 1 species